rnacentral:lncRNA from 1 species
UUUUUCUUGGGAAGGGCAAAAUUGAGAAAAAACCCUUAGAUUCUAAGUUCGGGGGUCGUUUUCGCUACGGGAAGGUGUUAGGCACCCGGAGCGAUUAUGGUAUUCCAUAAGAACCGCUCUCCUAAGUUUAUUUCUACGCUUUAGUUUUAUUGCUUAUUUUUGUAAAAAGGAAGGUAUGAUUAGUGAAGAAUGGGGGGGAGAAGAAGUAGAAUUUGAUUUUAUUUCGGCUUGGAUGAGUUUUGACUCAUUGCCUACGUACCGUUUUACGGGAUCAAAACCGGCGUAGUUCUUGCUAAAAAGACUUGUUGUUUUUUGUUUUAAUUGUUUGAUUUUAAGUUUUGAAAAUUGGUUUUGAAGAAGGAGAUUGGGAGGCUUCAUGAGCAUUAGAUUUAGC